rnacentral:snoRNA from 1 species
CUACCAAAAGAUGAUUUUAGAGGGAAGGUUUUUAGCAGCUUUUGCCAGCCCAAGUCAUGUGGGAUUAUAAAGACCGCAUUCCACUGAGGAAUGUGAGCUAUAUC